AUCUGAUUCAAGCAAUGUGCUUUACUAGCAGUAGCCAACUUAGGGAUACAAAGUCAAGGUGAGGGUCCAUCUCCAUUACUCAUUAACCAUGUGUUGUGCUGAGGACUCAGUGUUCUUACUUGCAUAAUGCAAUUACUAUUACUACCUCACAUGUAAAAGGGGGGAUUUCUAUAGUCUGCUAUCUUGCAAGUGAAAGGAGCCAUGGAUAGCUGGUCUCUGUUCACAGGAGUAACAAAGUGGACACCUCCAGAUGCGAGACAGAUCAAACAGAAAUGUGGCUAUUUGGAAAGAGCAAUCUUCUCCCACUGAUGAAAUCCCUUGGCUAUACAAUUUUUACUUUAAUCCUCCCAGAAAUUGCAAGAGGCCAAAAGAAACCUUUCACAUAUGGCCAGACAGAGAAGAGAAGCCAUAAUUCAGAUGUCACUGCAAUAUGUUAUGAGAAAUUUGUCUCUUGUCAGCAUCGCUGCCCGAGAAGUAUUUUGGCACCUGCCUCGAUUCAAGUCCUCUCCUGUAAGUGGGAAAGCCUCACAUACUUGGGACAGUGAACUGGAAUAGCUCUCUAGCGCACCACCCUCUGGAAGUGAACAGAUCAUCCUGAUGCGCAUUGCCAUCCAGUUGAUUGUUGCUUCCAACCCACAUAACGCAUCUCCUCUACCAAGAAGGUGACACUUCCAUUUCCUCUCCCUUGGUAUUAUUCUAUGCAAGUAUGAAAGGGACAAAAAAAGCAAGAAUCUUCCAAGAUCAAUAACUGGACCAGGGUGAAAUGCAAAGUAAGAUCCGGUGUGAAGAAGUGACUGACCACAGUCUGCAAAUGAAAGCUUGGCAGACUGGGAAAGGAUGGUGCACACUUUGCCAGUCUUGAAGAAUUCUUGCCCAAGGUAACAUUUAAUUUUGGCCAAAAUGCCCAUGUCUGUUAGGACAGUUUGAAUUAUUGUUAUUAUUUGGGAAGUCAGGACUAUUAACAACCAGCAAGUCUAGAAGAAAAGCCAAAAUCUGUAUGGAAGACAUUUAAUGCCUCUGGGCCUACUUGUCUGAAUUGAAGAACUAGAGAAAGACUUAUUUAUAAAGUUACCCAGAGAGCCUGGGGAAAGGGUGAGUGUCUCCCACUGGCUGAGCAUUCAUCACCAGCUCGCAUCAUUUACAACCUGGGUGGCUGGAGCCAGAUGCUCCUGCAGCCUAGACAGUAGAUGAAAUGUGGCUGGCAUACCCACAGCAGGCUCAGUGGAAGAAGCGACUGCUUCUGAAGAGGCCUGUGAAUAAUCUGCUAAACAUUGUGCGUUGUUUUUCUCCCAGGGUACACCAAAAAACAGCACAAAUCCACAAUGCUAAUUUAUCACCAGGUUACUAAUACAACAAGAAAGCAAAGAGAUGACAGGUAUCCAAGUUCUUGCAUUUUUUAAUGCUUUCUUUCAGGUGUAGAUGAAUGUAGGAUGCCCACUGUUUCAGAUUUAUUCAAACAUAAGAUUCACUGUGACAAUCUUUAUUUACUUUUGUUACACUAAACCCCACAGUUGGGUUUAUGUGUGAGUUUUUCUAAGGUGUCAGUCUCUAAAUUAAACUACAAAGAAUUUUUAACUGAAGACAAGCUUUUUCAGGGUCUUAACAGUAUCCUAUUCGAGACCAUAAAAAGUUUUUACAACAGCACAUAUAAGGUGCCUACAUCCUCCCCACAAAGGACAAGAUGAUGAGAUGUUCCCUAGAAAAUCAUUUCACAAGCACUGAAGUCCCUUCUGGGGAGGAGACUUUAGAUAUAGUUUCACUAUUUGGAUAAGUAAUACUAAACAUUUUUUUCC
rnacentral:lncRNA from 1 species